AUGAUAAGUUGAUGGAUUUGUUCUGAAAUGUGGAUGUGUUUUGUCUUCACUUAAGGUGCGUGAGUUAGCUGAAAAGGAGCCUGUAAAUGCUGCUGCAGUGAUUUUACCAGAUUCUUGACUAUCAUACUCAUUGGAACAACAUAAUAGCAGGGAACGCCAGAAAAGUGAGUGCAGUCCGGUUUGAAAGAGUUAAAUGAUAUGAAUAAAAUUUUUGAGGCACGCGAUGUAAGAAACAUGGUUCCCAAGUUCGUGAGAAAAUGGAGCAGUGAGGAAGAGUCUGAGGGUAACCAGCAUGCUCGCUCUGAUGAACAUUUAAUUCCUGAAAAUGAAAGUAUGAAAACAGAGUAAUGAUCGUUGUUCCUGUUUUGGAGUAAUGGUUUUAUGCUCUUUCUCUCUGUUUAAGAUAGUUAGCUUCUUUAGCAUCUCAUUCAAAAGUAUGAAAACAGAGUAAUUCAUUAAGUUAUAUAUUUCACCGUUAUUGCGGUCAUAGUGGAUGUAGUCUCACAAGAUGCAAUGAGUAAAGCUAAAUAUAAGCUCCACAGAUCUUUCCACAUUCACCAUAUCACCUUCUUUCUUCACCUCAUCUAUCAUUAUCUCCAUGAAGUCUCCAUAUCUUUAAUUCAAUAGAUGAUACUUCAUCUCUCCUCUCUUCAAACGUUUUCUUUUUUCAUCUUCGUCACAUUUCGGCGUGCCUUUUAGUUGAAAAAAAUGGAUGCCGAGUGCAAAUAAGUAGACGAAUCCUUAUAUGGACCAGAGAUAUUACCAUAAGACCAACGUAGAGAGCCUUCCAGAAACAAGGAUCAAAAGGAGACUUUAACUAAAUCAAAACUGAAAUCUCUACAGGUUACUACUAAACUCUCCAAGUCAAAGAUACCUCUGAGGGAGUCAUGAUAGAUCUCCAAGUAUACAUCAAAAGCUCUCAUCUGGUUCAGAAGUCUACUGUAUGAUACAUCGUCAUGUUAUGCUUCGACUGAUGCCUCCUCCAAAGCCAAAUUCAUGUGGAUUCAAACUUGUCAGAUUUGUGUUCACUCGCUGCCAAGUUUGCGGGGAGUAUUAACACAAGACAUCAUAUCAAGACCAAGCCCAAGACAAUACCAACAAGCCCAAUACUAUGAUGUAAACCCAUGUGUGUUAGGGUUUCUUGCAAGUGAAUUAGUAGUAGUAUAAAUAGAGUUGUGUUAUGUAAUGAAGAGGUAACUUUGGCUGCGUUUGUGCAUCCCUCUCUUUAUCAUUCAUAUGAAUCAAUCCAAACUUUAUUUAUCUUGGUGACAAAUCUAAAGUUUGAUGAUCAUUUGUUCUAGUAUCAACUGCAAUACAAUAAAGAUAUAAACCCCAACCAAACACAGAGAAGUGAGUAAGAUAGAUGUUUGACCACUUCAAUAUAUUGAGUUAUGGUUCAACAAACCGUGCCUGAAGCACAAACCAGAGAGAAGAAAGAAGAGAUAUGAGGCAGAAUAUUGAAACCUAUAAAAACCAACUUUGACAUUCGUUUCUUGACAGAUGAAGGGAUCUCGUCGAAACUGUGAGGUUUAAAGAACUCAUGAAUAGUUUCUCCAAUUAGUGGAAACUCCCAUUGAACCAGGAGUUAAGUUGCUGGAGCAUUUAGGGUUUGCCCAUCUAUAAAGCCAGAGACUGAUCUUGAUGACCACUUAAGCUAUACGUUAACAACACUCAAUGCAGCACCCCACAUUUCUUCCUAAAUUUCUGAAUCAGCUUAAUAUAUUCAAAUACUAGUGGUUUUCCGGCGCUACGCGCCGGGUUCGUGUGUUUUAUUUUGUAAAAAAUAAAAUUAAUUUUAUGGUAUUAGUAAAUAAAAUAUUUUCAAAUAUAUGAAGAUGAAAAUAUAUUUAAAGAGAAUGAUAAUUUUUUGAUCCAUUUGAUAGUGGUUAGCGACCGUAGUGUAUUACUUUGUUUUGAAGUUGCCUAGGUCAAAGAAGAAUAGCAUAAAUAAUUUUUAAUUUUCUGUAUUUUGUGUUAUAUUAGUAAACAUUCGUUAUAUUAAAAAUUAUCUCUAUUUUAAAUUUGGUAAGAUUUAAAAUAUACUAAAUAUAUUAUUUAAAUAUUUAAUCAAAUAUUAACAAAACGGAAAAUAUAGAAAUUUUUGUAAUAUUUUAGAAUGUGUUGCUUGGUGCUCUCUCUUUAUUCAGGUGUUGAAGUGGUGCAUUGUGAAGAAAGUAUUAUAUUUUAUUAGUAUAAACAUUUAUCCUCUCAUGUCUCUAAAUAAAAUCAAUUAAUAUUUUAAAUCAACCAAAUUAUUUUAAAUCAACCAACCUCUACUUAUAUAAUGAAUGAAUAUUUUCUCAUUAAGUAUAUUUUAAUUAAAUAGGCAAUCAAAAUUUAUAAACUUUAAAAUGAAAUGCUAAAUUGUGGUUUUAUAUUUGUGUUGUUUGUUGUUGUUAAUUUUUUGGAUGUAUAUUUGUUGAGCAAACUUAAAUCUGCGUAGUGGUUUCAUAUAUAGUAGAAACUCUAUAAAUUAAUAUUCAAAAAAUUAACAAAUACUAUAAAUUAAUAAUUUUUACGAUCCCAAAUUAAACUAUAACACCAAUCGAUAAGAUAAUACAUUUUCUAAAAAAGUAUAUGUAGAUAUAUGGUCUCAUUAAAAUUAUAAAUUAAUAACAUGCUAUUUAUGCUAAUCAUUUUAAAUUACCAAUUAUGUAUUAUUGACCGCCGGACUAUUUUAGAUAAACAUUUGGCAAAAAUAAUUAGAUGUUAAGUAAAAGAUUUUGUUCUCUAAGAUGUCAGUUGACUAUGAAGAAACUAUAGUUAUUUUAUAUUGUAUACUUUUAAUCUUGAACUGUAUUAAGACAGUAUUUUAAACCAAGGGGAAUAUAUAAAUAUUGAAGAUUUUGAAAAAAUACUAUUUACUUUUAGUAGGCAAAAUUUAUUAUUUUCUGAACUUCAACUGUGAUGAUGUCUAAAGUUUUGCCCGAAUGAUUGAUUGAAAAAACAAAUGCAAGUUUGUUCAGUUAUAAAAACUGAAGAACAAAUACAUAUUGAGUAUGAAGUUUUAGUAAUAUAUAUGACAACAAAUCCGCUGAUUGUCAUGGUUCGAAAGUUAUACAGAACAUUUUCUUGAAAACGCAUUUUCUUGAAAACGUUGAUUAAGCAUAAAAUUAAAUAAGCACCCUUAUCGAAACCUUACUAAAAUGAGAAGAAUGUCUUUAACAACAUUUUGCAGAAUAUUUUUUCAAAAAAGAAAAAAAAAAACAUUUUGCAGAAUAUUUAUACGUAAGCACCCUUAUACGAAGGAAAAUGGUUGGUCUUCUAAAAUUAAGUAAGCACCAUAUCGAAAUUUUAUUAAAAUAAGAAGAUUGUCUUUAACAACAUUUUGCAUAAUAUUUAUACGUACUGGCAGGACGUAGGAAAAUAUGGUUGCACUGAGCUCACCUUGGAUGUCUGACAAUUUUAAAAGUAAAGUUGUGUAAAUA